CAAUGGCUACUGUCACAGUAAGAGGAUUUCUGAUGCCGUAGCUUUGGUUGAUCAAAUGGUCGAAAUGGGAUAUAAACCUGAUACCUUUACAUUCACAACUCUAAUUCAUGGACUUUUUCUUCACAACAAAGCUUCAGAAGCAGUGGCUUUAGUUGAUCAAAUGGUUCAAAGAGGAUGUCAACCAGAUCUGGUUACUUAUGGUACCGUAGUAAACGGAUUAUGUAAGAGAGGUGAUAUUGAUUUGGCUUUAAAUCUGCUCAACAAGAUGGAAGCUGCGAGAAUAAAGGCUAAUGUUGUGAUCUUCAACACAAUCAUCGAUAGUCUCUGCAAAUAUAGACAUGUGGAAGUUGCUGUUGACUUAUUCACUGAAAUGGAAACCAAAGGAAUUAGACCUAAUGUUGUCACCUACAAUUCCCUCAUUAAUUGCCUUUGUAAUUACGGAAGAUGGAGUGAUGCCUCUCGACUACUGAGUAAUAUGCUUGAGAAGAAAAUCAACCCCAAUGUUGUUACUUUCAAUGCAUUGAUCGAUGCGUUUUUUAAAGAGGGGAAGCUUGUAGAGGCUGAAAAAUUGCACGAGGAGAUGAUCCAAAGGUCUAUAGAUCCAGAUACUAUCACUUACAAUUUAUUGAUCAAUGGGUUUUGCAUGCACAAUCGCCUAGACGAGGCCAAGCAGAUGUUUAAGUUCAUGGUUAGCAAGGACUGUCUUCCAAAUAUACAGACUUAUAAUACGCUUAUAAAUGGAUUUUGUAAGUGUAAAAGGGUUGAGGAUGGUGUGGAACUCUUCCGCGAGAUGUCUCAAAGGGGAUUAGUUGGCAACACAGUCACUUACACCACUAUUAUCCAAGGGUUUUUUCAAGCUGGCGACUGUGAUUCUGCCCAAAUGGUAUUCAAACAGAUGGUUUCUAAUCGUGUGCCUACAGAUAUUAUGACAUACAGCAUUUUGUUGCAUGGACUUUGUAGUUAUGGGAAGCUAGAUACAGCAUUGGUCAUAUUCAAGUAUCUGCAAAAGAGUGAAAUGGAACUUAAUAUUUUUAUAUAUAAUACUAUGAUUGAAGGGAUGUGCAAGGCUGGCAAGGUGGGAGAAGCGUGGGAUUUAUUUUGUAGCCUCAGCAUUAAGCCUGAUGUUGUAACAUACAAUACAAUGAUCUCAGGAUUGUGUAGUAAACGCCUACUACAGGAAGCAGAUGACCUGUUCAGAAAAAUGAAAGAAGAUGGUACUCUUCCAAAUAGUGGUACAUAUAAUACGCUUAUCAGAGCAAACCUUAGAGAUUGUGACAGAGCCGCAUCAGCAGAACUCAUCAAAGAAAUGAGGAGUUCUGGGUUUGUUGGAGAUGCUUCAACCAUUAGCUUGGUGACAAAUAUGUUGCAUGAUGGGAGAUUGGACAAAAGCUUUCUCAA
rnacentral:sRNA from 1 species